CAUUAUUUUGACACACUGCCUUGUACGUAGUGGGUACUUAUUCAAUGUUUGUUAGUUAGUCAAUAAGCAUUAUUAAGUAUCUACUGUGUGCCAGGUCAAAUUGCCACCAUUCAUU
rnacentral:precursor_RNA from 15 species